GAGUAACACGUGGGUAACCUGCCCAUAAGACUGGGAUAACUCCGGGAAACCGGGGGUAAUACCGGAUAACAUUUUGAACCGCAUGGUUCGAAAUUGAAAGGCGGCUUCGGCUGUCACUUAUGGAUGGACCCGCGUCGCAUUAGCUAGUUGGGGAGGUAACGGGUCACCAAGGCGACGAUGCGUAUCCGACCUGAGAGGGGGAUCGGCCACACUGGGACUGAGACACGGCCCAGACUCCUACGGGAGGCAGCAGUAGGGAAUCUUCCGCAAUGGACGAAAGUCUGACGGAGCAACGCCGCGUGAGUGAUGAAAGCUUUCGGGUCGUAAAACUCUGUUGUUAGGGAAGAACAAGUGCUAGUUGAAUAAGCUGGCACCUUGACGGUACCUAACCAAAAAGCCACGGCUAACUACGUGCCAGCAGCCGCGGUAAUACGUAGGUGGCAAGCGUUAUCCGGAAUUAUUGGGCGUAAAGCGCGCGCAGGUGGUUUCUUAAGUCUGAUGUGAAAGCCCACGGCUCAACCGUGGAGGGUCAUUGGAAACUGGGAGACUUGAGUGCAGAA
rnacentral:rRNA from 1 species